rnacentral:rRNA from 1 species
UACGUAGGGGGCAAGCGUUGUCCGGAAUUAUUGGGCGUAAAGAGCGUGUAGGCGGUCCGGUAAGUCGGCUGUGAAAGCCCCGGGCUCAACCUGGGAAUUGCAUUUGAGGCUGCGUAGCUAGGGUGCGGAAGAGGGAAGCGGAAUUUCCGGUGUAGCGGUGAAAUGCGUAGAUAUCGGAAGGAACACCAGUGGCGAAAGCGGCUUCCUGGUCCAGCACCGACGUUCAGGCACGAAAGCGUGGGGAGCAAACAGG